UUCCAACGGAGGGACAACCAGGGCGUGCCAGUAUCGAGGGAGAGGGUGAUGCGACUGCCAGUAUCGAGAAUGCGAGGAUCUAUAACAAUAAUUUGGUUCGGGUUGUCAAGAAUGGAACGCCCAGGAGGCCUAACAGCCCCAUCGAAACCUACAUAUUUGCUAUGUUUGAUGAGGAUCAGAAGCCCGGCGACGACAUUGAGAGGCAUUUCGGCCUCUUCUCUUCUGACGGCCAGCCUAAAUACACAGUCGAUUUUAACUAGAUGCCUACUUUCGCAAUCCUUAAUUAAAAAUAUACAAGCCCGUUUGCUACUUCUGUACUUGCCUAGCUCUUUGUUUGUUUCAACUGUGUAACACACGUGCGUGCGCUCGUGUCGUAAUAAUAAAUGAGUUGUUGAUUGAAUUUCGAUGGUUUAUUUCAAAUAUAUUUUUAGCUGCAUUUAUUUUACAUGAUUAAUAAAUGAAUAAUUGAAUAGGAUUAUUACAAUCCUAUCCAUUUAGUGGAAUUAAUAACAAUCAAAUAAACUAACUUUGUAAUACCCCGAUUUUUAUAAACUUUGCAAUCCAAAAUUUAAAGAACUAAUAGAUAAAAAUAAAACUUCUUGACUAUCAAAGUUUAAACUAAUUUAUAAAAAUCAAUUUGCCAAAACUAAAGUAGUAACAUAAAAAGAACAAUCAAAUAAAACUUAACAAGUUCAACUUAAAUUCUAUGAAAAUACUAAAUCUAUAGUCAUUCUCGACUUCCAUGGCCACCUCGACUCCAAAAACUGCAAAACUGAAAAAGAUAAGGGGUGAGCAUAUUGAAAAUAUACUCAGUGAGAAAUCAUGCAAAUAUUCACAUACGCUUAAACAUGCAAAUAAUUCACAUUAUCAUACACAUAUACUGAUAAUCUGAUGGGCGAACUGAGAGCCCCUGAACAUGUAUUUCAACAUGGCUAAAUUUCUGAACAUGUAUUUCUACAUGGCUGAACAUGUAUUUCAACAUGGCUGAUAUUCUGAACAUGUAUUUCUACAUGGCUGAACAUGUAUUUCAACAUGGCUGAUAUUCUGAACAUGUAUUUCUACAUGACUGAGCAAGUAUAAUCAAACUUAGAAAUAGAGCAUAUAAAACAUACAUAGAAUAUAACCACAAGCAUAUAAUCCCUCACCUUAAUAUUGCCUUGAAAUAUUUUGACGAAACCUAAAAACAUAUAUCCCGAAACAAAGACAAAAAUUUUACAAAGCUCUUCUAUGGGAAAGAAAAAAUAAAUCUGAUGUUUUGCUCCUCCCCCAUCAUGGUCGUGUGCUCCUAAAUACAUAUAUUAGCAGUAGGCAAAUCUUUGCUAGACUCCAAAAAUUUAUUUGUGUCAAUCUAACUUUUUUAUGAUCAAAUUANGUACAUUCUUUAUGAGUGAGUGUGUGAUAAGCUGAAAAUUGUUGCAGCUGCACAAAUCGGAGUGUGUUACGGAACAAACGGCCAAGGAUUGCCUCCUCCACCAGAUGUCGUGGCUCUAUUCAAGCAAUACAACAUUAAAAGAAUGCGAAUUUACGAUCCUGACCCCGCCAUCCUCCAAGCUCUCGGCGGCUCCGACAUCGAGCUCACCCUCGGAAUCCUAAACAUGAAUCUCCAAGAGAUCGCCGCCAGCAUAGACACCGCCAAUUCCUGGGUCCAAAACAAUGUACGCAACUACGGCGACGUCCGCUUCAGAAACAUCAUCGUCGGAAACGAAGUCAACCCCAACAAUCCAGGUACCUCUCAGUACGCAGAUUUACUCCUCCCUGCCAUGCGCAACAUCCGCGAUGCCCUCAACGCCGCCGGCCUCGGCCAGGUCAAGGUAACCACGGCCAUAGAGACCGAGGUCUUGGAUCCUAGCAAAAACUUUCCACCGAGUCAGGGGGAAUUCCGGCCUGAGUUGAAGCCGUUUCUUGACCCCAUCGUGGCGUUUCUAGUCGACACCGGCGCUCCUUUGUUCGCCAACAUAUACCCUUACUUCGCCUACGUCAAUAACAAGCAGAUAGACUUCAAUUAUGCUUUUCUGCAGCCGAAUAGCGGGAUCAUGGCCGAUGGAGUGUACUACGACAAUCUCUACUACGCGCUCGUGGACACCAUGAACGCGGCGCUGGAGAAGAGCACCGCCACAAUGUUCUCUACGGAGCAGAACGGGCCCAAGAAACCCCCGCCGCAGGUUGGCGGGGGAGAGACCGGCGUUCCAACGGAGGGACAACCAGGGCGUGCCAGUAUCGAGGGAGAGGGUGAUGCGACUGCCAGUAUCGAGAAUGCGAGGAUCUAUAACAAUAAGUUUGGUUCGGGUUGUCAAGAAUGGAACGCCCAGGAGGCCUAACAGCCCCAUCGAAACCUACAUAUUUGCUAUGUUUGAUGAGAAUCAGAAGCCCGGCGACGACAUUGAGAGGCAUUUCGGCCUCUUCUCUUCUGACGGCCAGCCUAAAUACACAGUCGAUUUUAACUAGAUGCCUACUUUCGCAAUCCUUAAUUAAAAAUAUA
rnacentral:lncRNA from 1 species